rnacentral:rRNA from 1 species
ACGCACGCUGGCGGCGUGCCUCAUCCAUGCAAGUUGAGCGCUGAAGGUUGGUACUUGUACCAACUGGAUGAGCAGCGAACGGGUGAGUAACGCGUGGGGAAUCUGCCUUUGAGCGGGGGACAACAUUUGGAAACGAAUGCUAAUACCGCAUAAAAACUUUAAACACAAGUUUUAAGUUUGAAAGAUGCAAUUGCAUCACUCAAAGAUGAUCCCGCGUUGUAUUAGCUAGUUGGUGAGGUAAAGGCUCACCAAGGCGAUGAUACAUAGCCGACCUGAGAGGGUGAUCGGCCACAUUGGGACUGAGACACGGCCCAAACUCCUACGGGAGGCAGCAGUAGGGAAUCUUCGGCAAUGGACGAAAGUCUGACCGAGCAACGCCGCGUGAGUGAAGAAGGUUUUCGGAUCGUAAAACUCUGUUGGUAGAGAAGAACGUUGGUGAGAGUGGAAAGCUCAUCAAGUGACGGUAACUACACAGAAAGGGACGGCUAACUACGUG